AGGACUGUACUUUCAAGGACCAUUUGUAACUAGAGAAGUUUCUCUGACUGUCACAUUGAACACCUGAAACUACAAGGAGGAGAUGUAACGUUCUCUCCUGAGCAUGAAGCUGGCUCUUAGUGUUGCUCUUUGCAACUGCUGCUUGCCAAUGAUGAUAGUUCUCGAUAGUUUUUGAGGGUUGAGAGGGAGAAGAUGUAGUCUGAGUGGG